UACGGGGGGGGCAAGCGUUGUUCGGAAUUACUGGGCGUAAAGGGCGCGUAGGCGGCCUGCUAAGUCGGAUGUGAAAUCCCUCGGCUCAACCGAGGAACUGCAUCCGAUACUGGCGGGCUUGAAUCCGGGAGAGGGAUGUGGAAUUCCAGGUGUAGCGGUGAAAUGCGCAGAUAUCAGGAGGAACACCGGUGGCGAAGGCGGGUCUCUGGGCCGAUACUGACGCUGAGGAGCGAAAGCGUGGGGAGCGAACAGG
rnacentral:rRNA from 1 species